rnacentral:rRNA from 1 species
UACGUAGGGUGCAAGCGUUGUCCGGAAUUAUUGGGCGUAAAGGGCUCGUAGGCGGUCCAUCGCGUCGGGAGUGAAAAGCUGGGGCUUAACCCCAGUCCUGCUUCCGAUACGGGUGGACUAGAGGUAGGUAGGGGAGAUCGGAAUUCCUGGUGUAGCGGUGAAAUGCGCAGAUAUCAGGAGGAACACCGGUGGCGAAGGCGGAUCUCUGGGCCGUACCUGACGCUGAGGAGCGAAAGCAUGGGGAGCAAACAGG